CAGUGAGGAGUAUGGAGCAGACACAGUGUACAUAGAAGCAGCAGAAGCAGAGACAGUAUACGGAGUAUACAAGAGCAGUAACAGCCAAGAAAGUAUACAGGGUAUACAAGCACAGUAACAAAGUAUACAGAGCAUGAAGAUGCAGUAACAGAGUAUAUGGAAGCAGCGACAGUAUACAAGAGCAGUAACAGCCAAGAAAGUAUACAAGAGCAGUAGCAGAGUAUACAGAGUAUACAACAUAAAGAAGCAGAGCAUGGAGCGAGAACAGCUGAUCAGAGCAGCUGAAGUGAUCUACAAGAGAGAGACAAAGGUUGCGUCUUCGUUUCUCGGGGCGGAUUUGGAUGCAGCUAUUUUCUGUACGCGUAUACGUAUUACUUUACAUACAUCAAUGCUGCAUUGGCGGCAUUAAUGAUACUCAGUUCCCUCUGUGCGUGCUGCUGUGUUUACAGUGCUCUUGAUUCAGACCAGGAUAGCCAACCAGACCAGGAUAUCCCGCAAGGCCUGUCUACCAUAUCAGGAGGGCUAGUGGUUUCCAGUGUCCAGAUAACCGAGUUCCAACUUCACCAAGAUCCCCUACCGGAUGUAUUUAUUAUGUGAGACCUGUUUAACAAACCAUAUGAGUAUACCCAACCAGUAGAGUACACAUAUCAGAAAAGUAUACCAUACAAUACGUAACCAGGAGAGUAUACCCAACCAGAAGAGUAUACCCUACCAGUAGAGAACACAUAUCAGAAAAGUAUACCAUACAACAAGAGUAUACGCAACCAGGAGAGUAUACCCAAGCAGAAGAGUAUACCGAACCGGAAGAGUAUACCCCACCAGAAGAGUAUACCCCCACCAGAAGAGUAUACCCCACCAGAAGAGUAUACCCAACCAGAAGAGUAUAGCCCACCAGUAGAGUACACAUAUCAGAAAAGUAUACCAUACAACAAGAGUAUACCCAACCAGAAGAGUAUACCCAACCAGAAGAGUAUACCCAACCAGAAGAGUAUACCCCACCAGAAGAGUAUACCAUUUUAGAAGAGUAUACCA